rnacentral:rRNA from 1 species
UAUUAAAGUUGUUGCGGUUAAAAAGCUCGUAGUUGGAUUUCUGUCGAGGAUGGCCGGUCCGCACUUUGUGCGUGCAUCUGGUUCAGCCUUGGUAUCCUCCUGGGGAACGUAUCUGCGCUUAAUUGCGUGGUGCGGCAUCCAGGACUUUUACUUUGAGGAAAUUAGAGUGUUCACGGCAGGCAAACGCCUUGAAUACAUUAGCAUGGAAUAAUAAUAUAGGACCUUGGUCCCAUUUUGUUGGUUUCUGGAACUGAGGUAAUGAUUAAUAGGGAUAAUUGGGGGCAUUCGUAUUAACGUGUCAGAGGUGGAAUUCUUGGAUUACGUUACGACGAACUACUGCGAAAGCAUUUGCCAAGGAUGUUUUCAUUGAUCAAGAACGAAAGUUCGGGGAUCGAAGAUGAUUAGAUACCAUCGUAGUCCGAACCAUAAACUAUGCCAACUAGAGAUGGGCGAUCGUUAUUUUAUUGACUUCGUCCGCACCUUAUGAGAAAUCAAAGUCUUUGGGUUCCGGGGGGAGCACGCUCGCAAGUGUGAAACUUAAAGGAAUUGA